GUCUUCGUGGCUCAGUUGGUUAGAGCGUUGGUCUCAUAUGCUAAAUAUGAAGUGAUUGAAGAACGAUCACAUGAUAUCCAAAGGUCGAGAGUUCGAGUCUCUCCGAGGACA